GACGAACGCUGGCGGCGUGCUUAACACAUGCAAGUCGAACGGAAAGGCCCUGCUUUUGUGGGGUGCUCGAGUGGCGAACGGGUGAGUAACACGUGAGUAACCUGCCCUUGACUUUGGGAUAACUUCAGGAAACUGGGGCUAAUACCGGAUAGGAGCUCCUGCUGCAUGGUGGGGGUUGGAAAGUUUCGGCGGUUGGGGAUGGACUCGCGGCUUAUCCGCUUGUUGGUGGGGUAGUGGCUUACCAAGGCUUUGACGGGUAGCCGGCCUGGGAGGGUGACCGGCCACAUUGGGACUGAGAGACGGCCCAGACUCCUACGGGAGGCAGCAGUGGGGAAUAUUGCACAAUGGGCGGAAGCCUGAUGCAGCAACGCCGCGUGCGGGAUGACGGCCUUCGGGUUGUAAACCGCUUUCGCCUGUGACGAAGCGUGAGUGACGGUAAUGGGUAAAGAAGCACCGGCUAACUACGUG
rnacentral:rRNA from 1 species